UACGUAGGUGGCAAGCGUUGUUCGGAAUUACUGGGCGUAAAGCGCGUGUAGGCGGCUCUUCAAGUCAGGCGUGAAAGCCCCGGGCUUAACUCGGGAACUGCGCUUGAUACUGUCGAGCUAGAGUGUGGAAGGGGCGAUUGGAAUUCCGUGUGUAGCGGUGAAAUGCGUAGAUAUACGGAGGAACACCAGAGGCGAAGGCGGAUCUCUGGGCAGUAACUGACGCUGAGGAGCGAAAGCGUGGGGAGCGAACAGG
rnacentral:rRNA from 1 species